UGGGAUGUCAGAGCCUUUUGGAUGAAGCAGGAGAAUACAGGUGAAUUCUGAUGACGCUGUGAUAAAAUGCUCCUUCAUAAGGAAAGGGAUUAAAGUGAUUGUACCUGACUCCUUAUCUAAGGGUCUGCUUCUAACAUUUCCACAGUGAGACAAAAUUUGUUGAUUCCAGAAGUUAAUGGAAAGAUGCAGAAACUGAGACACACAGAAGCUAAGUUGCUCAGUGUCACACAAGUGGUGAGGACAAGUUUGAGUCCGAGUGGUUUGUCUCAAAAGUGCUCAGAAGGACUCCACCAUGGACUGGGGUGUACUCUGCUGUCUGGAGAGGAGUGUUCAAAACUUCAGGGGAGCGUCUGUGUGUGGAGGCCCUUGCCUGCAAUCCCAGCUACUCCAGAGGUUGAGGCAGGAGGAUUGCAAGUUCCAGGCUGCCCUAGACAACUUAGUGAGGCCCUGUCUCAAAAUAAAAUUCAAAAUAAAGGACUGGGAAUGUAGCUCAGUGGUAGAAGGCUUGCCUAGCAUGAGCAAGGCCCCUUGGUUCAAUCCCCAGUACUACAAAAAUAAAACAAAAGAAAUUUAAAGGGAGCAGAGGCAAAGGACAUGGAGAGAGUCCUUUGGUAGAUGAAAGUGAGAAGUUCAAUUAUACUAACACUUCCCAGUCAUUCAAGAUGUUUGUACUUCUAGUAAGAGAUGAGAUAGUGGUAACUAGCAAGAAGUAUGCUGGAGUUUUGAACUCUACCUGCUAAAAAUCAUAAUAUACAGAGCCUACGCAUUUGGAAUCUCAAGGAGGACUUUUUAAUCAGAGGUAGAUAGAAAUAAAAAGUGCUUACUUAGCCUGGAGCUGAAUGUAAUUUUGAGUUGAAAGCUUAAUUAUCUAAAUUUCACCUAUGUGAGCAAUCGUAUUCUGUUUAUAUAAUUCUAUUUUAAGACAUGAGUUUAAAAUAUGGCUUUGCUAUAAAUAAAUAUCUGUUUUUACAUACAAAGACCACUGGUGAGAUACAAAGAUGCUUUAAUUUUUUCUUUUCUAGGGCUUUAGAUGUUUAAGAAAAUCUACGCUAUAGUAUCCAACUGAUAAGUCAGUUUAAUGACACUACCAGUAAGAGUGUAAAGGAGAACAAAGCAGCUAAAAAGUAAUCUCUUUCCUUAUUCCUGCAUUAUCUUUAUAAGAUACACAGUCUAUCGUCUUUCUUUUGCUUAAUAAAAAAAUUUAAUCAGUA